rnacentral:lncRNA from 1 species
GGGAGAACCAGCAAUGCUGUCCUUAAUUUGGGGGUUGGGCAUCAUGCUCUGAAGGAGUCAUGUGGCAUAUGCCAAGCACUGAAAGACAGAACAGGAGCCAACAGCCAAAGUCACAAAGACUGUGGAUCUUUGAAAACUACCCAGGCCUCUGUCACUGGACGGAUUUGGAAUAGUAGCAGGCAUGUCACCCCUAGAUAUGUCGAAACACCAUUUCCCCCUGUGGUGAGAAGCUACGGUCCUUGCCCAACUCCAAAUCAUAUAAUUUCUAAGCUACAUGUUGUGCUCACACCAGUAGUCCCAGCCCUUGGGAGGCUGAGGGAGGCUCAUGAGUCUGAGGACAGCCUGGGUUACACUGUAAGUAUC